rnacentral:rRNA from 1 species
GCCUGCGGCACACCACCUUGAAUAAGCCUGAGCUCGUCUCAUCUCAGAAGCUAAGCAAUGUUGGGCUUGGUAGUACUUGUAUGGGAGACCACUGGGAAUAUCAAGUGCUGGAGGCAUU